CAGAAUUUUCACUCUAGUGCAUUCUCUCAAAUUGAUUGACCAUGAUCUGCAUGGACUUCCACUCUCCUGGAGGCGAUCCGUGGAACCGCCAAUAGGAAAAGGUUCUAAAUUCCAUGUACAAUUGAGGAGAAUGGACAUAACAAAGAAACCAGGAGCAACAUUUUAGUAUCCAGUACAAUAUUGUGUUUAUUGGAGUAAUCACCAUAUCAAGACACAGUUAGAAGCACAUCUUUUUUCUGGGAAGUGGUAGCAAUAAAAGAGUAAAGAAGAAGACAAAUCGGAUCAAAAGAGAACACAACUGAUAUGCAUUUAGAAAAGCAGUCCUUAGAGACUGGGAAGCGUCUUUGCAAGCACAUUCUAGUAGAACUCCUACAAUAAUAAUAACAAGCACCAAACAUUGCCACCACUCAGGCGAUUGCGUUGAGAACAAGCAAACUGGAGAAACUUGUUCACAAUGGUCAUGAAACUUGAAUUAAUACCCCAUCGGCUAUCCAAUCUUUUGUACAUCCAAUCACGCUCUAGAUUGUCUGUGUUCCUAUUUAAUAUUAAAAUAAACAAGACCUUAGAGUUCUUUAUUUAAUAAGAUAUCAAAAUGUUUUCUAAAAUAAAUAACAAGUUGACAUCAGAAUAAGUUCAGAAUUACAAACACCCCAAUCUUGGAAUGAAAAUAUAUCUUGGAAUGCUCAGUUUUUUUCUUUGACCAAAAUAAAAACCUUAAAGACAAAUGAAAUGCUAUAUAUUGAGGAUUAUAUAAGUAAAAAAUGAUUAGAUAAUGUAACUAAAUGAAGAAAAGAGAGGGGGCAUUACUAAUGGGAGAAGCUACUAUAUGUGAUUAAGUGAACAAUGUGUGUGUUCACGAUCAACAUUUUAUGUGAUCUAUAUGCGUUGUUAGCUAAAUUAGUCUGCUUUCUCUGUUGGCAAUGAAAAAAUUGUGAUAUUUCUGUACUGAAGUUGUAUAAUGCAUGAAAUUGUUCUAUUUCAAUAAUUAACUGUUGGCCAAACUUCAUCAAGUUGUACAAAAAUGCAUAGAAUUUACUAUCUAAUAUUGCCAUAAGUAACAAAUAGCCUGGUAAAUUUAUGUGUUACAUUCUAUUUCCAAUUUUCACGUCCUAAAAUUCAAAGUGUUAGCUGUGGCAUCAGCAUCCAUAUGACCAACUCUCCUUUACACUCUAGCAAACUUCAAUGAUAUUAGACCAUGGAUGAUAAGUGUACAUAUAUAUUAUGUCCCAAGGAUUAUAUCAAUGGAAAAUAAGAUGUAUAUACACCUAAAGAUCCAGAUAUUCAUAUGUACUCACAUAGAAAAAAAUCAGACCCAAGUAAUAGGAAUUAAAGAGUGAAAUCUAAGUUAUUGUGUAGUUAAGGUAGACAGAAAACCUACGUAUUAUUUUACGUGAAAAAUGAUUGUAAAUCUGCUGAUAUGUUCAAAAGAAAAAUAAAAUAGAGCCAAAUAAAGAAAACUCCUCAAAUUAAGAGGAAAUUUACUUUAAUAAAACAACUUAAAACCUUGUAAAGAACUGAUCUUGGGAGAUACCCACAUAGAUUUGAGAAGAAAACAACUUCUUCUGAAAUAAGCGUGAAUACAAACGAAAAAAGUUUUGCUCUUGGUAUCAUAAAAAAAUGCUUUGUCAAAGUUGAACUGAAAAUAUAACUUGGAGAUGUUUCACUAAAUCACCAUUCACAUGACUAUUAGAAAUUGGAAAAGAAUACAAAUAGCUUCUUCUAUGCGUGCAAAGGCAAUUCAUACGAGCAUAUUAUAAAACACCAUCCGUACAUCAUCGAGCAAAUUGGAUAAAGUUGAUGACAUAUGUGUAAAAAUCCAAUACCACACUAUCCGAAAGAACAUAUCUUGUAGUCGAUACCACCAAUUUCAAAACUACAAUAGCAAUAAAAUAUUACAUUGAAUGAAAGCAAGAAUAGAGAAAAAAUUACCAAAAUUGAACAAUAUAGAGCACACUCUACAGACAACUUGGAACUAAAAUUGAGAAAUUUGAAAAACAAAACCCUCAAUUAUAUAUGCAUGGGGCGCGCAACAUUUACCGACCAAGUACGAAAAAGACAUUUAAACAAAUACUUCAAUAAUGAUAACCCUGGAAAGCCUAAAAACACCGCCGAGACUAUAAAAACCAACUUUAAAGGAGAAGGUACAGUGGAUAUACGUUUAGUUAAAGGAUAAAUAAAAAGGAGAAGCAAAAUUGGUAUCAAAGCAAGGAAGAGCUUAAGUAAUUCAGAAUAAUCUCAUAGAUUACAGUGGAAAAAAAAUCAUUACUCACUCAGUCACCUGACAAAAGAUGAAGCAGAACACCACCGAGAGAAACAAAGAAGAUUAAAUGACCAGAAUAUCUUUUAGUAGGCGAGAUGAUGCCUCUUCUUACGCAAAGACCUUCGACUAACCAAUGAUGUCAGGAAUGAAAUCACAAAGAAGCUUACCCUUUCACCUAAGAAUCUUGCAGCACAGCAACAACAACAUCAAAUUUCAGAGUUCACGGCUAAAAUUUUGCAAUUUCAAAAGUUUUCUUCUAUUUUUCUGACGCUAUUUGAAGUAAAAAACUCACAUUAUUGAAGAGUAUUGAAAGUGAGAUUAUGUUUGAUAGAGAGGAGAUAAAGUGGACGUGUUGACUAAUUA
rnacentral:lncRNA from 1 species